GAAAUGCGAUAAGUAAUGUGAAUUGCAGAAUUCAGUGAAUCAUCGAAUCUUUGAACGCACCUUGUGCUCCUUGGUAUUCCUUGGAGCAUGCCUGUUUGAGUAUCAUGAAAUCUUCAAAGUAAAUCUUUUGUUAACUCAAUUGGUUUCUACUUUGGUAUUGGAGGUCUUUGCAGCUUCACACCUGCUCCUCUUUGUUCAUUAGCUGGAUCUCAGUGUUAUGCUUGGUUCCACUCGGCGUGAUAAGUUAUCUAUCGCUGAGGACACUGUAAAAGGUGGCCAAGGUAGAUGCAGAUGAACCGCUUCUAAUAGUCCAUUGACUUGGACAAUACUUUUAUGAUCUGAUCUCAAAUCAGGUAGGACUACCCGCUGAACUUAAGC
rnacentral:misc_RNA from 1 species